ensembl:lncRNA
CCUCCCCUUCUCGGCCUUCGCGAGUGUGGGCGCCUCGCGGCACUGGCGAGCCGCUCCAGGUGGUGGUACUGUGGUAAAGAAUCUGCCUGCCGAUGCAGGAGAUACAAGAGACAUGGAUUUGAUUGCAGAUAUGGAUUGGAAAGAGUCCCCUGGAGAAGGAAAUGGCAACCCACUCCAAUAUUCUUGCCUGGAAAAUUCCACAGACAGAAGAGCCUGCUGGGCUACAGUCCCUGGGUUUGGAAAGAGUCAGACAUGACUUCGAGACUGAAAAACAACAGUGUACUAAUAGAAGGCACUAAACUGCAUGCCCCAGUCACCUUGUUGAACUCUUCAUUUUAUGAGGAAGAAACUGAAGCCCAGCGUCACACAGCACUAUAAUAAUAAGGGCCUGGAACCCAAGACUUCCGACCCCAGCCUAGUUCUCUACCCUCAGAGCCACCCCGCCAAAAUGACAAUUUAAAGGAUGACUUCCUAAACUGAUCACGCCUUCUCUCUUUUAUAAGGCCGUUGGGUCACCACACUGCAGAUAAUCCGCUCCAUAAACCAACUCAGAGCUGUAGGGAAAGAGCAAAUUAGCCAAGAUGGCAGUAGUCAGGCUCUCCCCCACGGCCUCUCACUCUUGCCCCACGUUUUGCAAAUAAUGAUUAUGUAAGAGCUGAGAUCAUUUGUAUAGCACUGUGCAGUCUCUAUAUAAGCACCACCUGAAGUGCUCUCGUAGUCAAGUUGUGUUGAGUCAAGUCUCACAGUGGUUGUUGCUGCUGCUGUGUCAGCCAUUAGAGAGUAAAGCAUCUCUGCUUUGCCAGGGUGACUAAAGAAUGCAGUUCCUACCACUCCUCACAUCCUCUUCCAGCUCCGCCCUGCCUGCCCUGCCAGCGAGACAAGAGCACUCUGAAACAUGUCUCAUCAUGAACCAGGACUUUGGCUCAAAUGGAGAAAGGAUUCACCGAGCUUUGGGGGUGAGGGGUUGAGGGGGUACUGAACUCAUUAAAAGACUCUGCAGAACAAUCCUGCUGAUUCAGAAUGACUAAAGAAUGGUCUUUCUGAUUAUCUAGCGGUUUUGCUCAUAUUUAUGGAAUGAAUGAAUAUAUGGAGCUUUGAAAUGUAAUACCAGCGAUUCUACUGAAUUUA